GAAAUCCCGUCGGAAUCUGGGAGGACCAUCUCCCAACCCUAAAUACUCCCUAGUGACCGAUAGUGAACCAGUACCGUGAGGGAAAGGUGAAAAGCACCCCGGGAGGGGAGUGAAAUAGAACCUGAAACCGUGUGCCUACAACAAGUUCGAGCCCGUUAAUGGGUGAGAGCGUGCCUUUUGUAGAAUGAACCGGCGAGUUACGUUAUGAUGCGAGGUUAAGUUGAAGAGACGGAGCCGUAGGGAAACCGAGUCUGAAUAGGGCGCCUUAGUAUCAUGACGUAGACCCGAAACCAUGUGACCUACCCAUGAGCAGGUUGAAGGUGCGGUAAGACGCACUGGAGGACCGAACCAGGGCACGUUGAAAAGUGCUUGGAUGACUUGUGGGUAGCGGAGAAAUUCCAAACGAACUUGGAGAUAGCUGGUUCUCUCCGAAAUAGCUUUAGGGCUAGCGUCGACAUUAGAGAUUCUUGGAGGUAGAGCACUGUUUGGGUGAGGGGUCCAUCCCGGAUUACCAAUCUCAGAUAAACUCCGAAUGCCAAUGAAUUAUGGUCGGCAGUCAGACUGCGAGUGCUAAGAUCCGUAGUCGAAAGGGAAACAGCCCAGACCACCAGCUAAGGUCCCAAAAUAAUUGUUAAGUGGAAAAGGAUGUGGGGUUGCACAGACAACUAGGAUGUUAGCUUAGAAGCAGCUAUUCAUUCAAAGAGUGCGUAAUAGCUCACUAGUCGAGUGACCCUGCGCCGAAAAUGUACCGGGGCUAAAACAAUUUACCGAAGCUGUGGAUACCUUUAUAGGUAUGGUAGGAGAGCGUUCUAUGUGUGAUGAAGGUAUACCGUGAGGAGUGCUGGAACGCAUAGAAGUGAGAAUGCCGGUAUGAGUAGCGAAAGACAGGUGAGAAUCCUGUCCACCGUAAGACUAAGGUUUCCAGGGGAAGGCUCGUCCGCCCUGGGUUAGUCGGGACCUAAGGAGAGACCGAAAGGUGUAUCCGAUGGACAACAGGUUGAUAUUCCUGUACUAGAGUAUGUAGUGAUGGAGGGACGCAGUAGGCUAACUAAAGCAGACGAUUGGAAGAGUCUGUCUAAGCAGUGAGGUGUGAAUUGAGUCAAAUGCUUAAUUCUAUAACAUUGAGCUGUGAUGGGGAGCGAAGUUUAGUAGCGAAGUUAGUGACGUCACACUGCCAAGAAAAGCUUCUAGCGUUUAAACAUACUCUACCCGUACCGCAAACCGACACAGGUAGUCGAGGCGAGUAGCCUCAGGUGAGCGAGAGAACUCUCGUUAAGGAACUCGGCAAAAUGACCCCGUAACUUCGGGAGAAGGGGUGCUGACUUAAAGUCAGCCGCAGUGAAUAGGCCCAAGCAACUGUUUAUCAAAAACACAGCUCUCUGCUAAAUCGUAAGAUGAUGUAUAGGGGGUGACGCCUGCCCGGUGCUGGAAGGUUAAGAGGAGUGCUUAGCGUAAGCGAAGGUAUGAAUUGAAGCCCCAGUAAACGGCGGCCGUAACUAUAACGGUCCUAAGGUAGCGAAAUUCCUUGUCGGGUAAGUUCCGACCCGCACGAAAGGCGUAAUGAUUUGGGCACUGUCUCAACGAGAGACUCGGUGAAAUUUUAGUACCUGUGAAGAUGCAGGUUACCCGCGACAGGACGGAAAGACCCCAUGGAGCUUUACUGCAGUUUGAUAUUGAGUGUCUGUACCACAUGUACAGGAUAGGUAGGAGUCUAAGAGAUCGGGACGCCAGUUUCGAAGGAGACGCUGUUGGGAUACUACCCUUGUGUUAUGGCCACUCUAACCCAGAUAGGUGAUCCCUAUCGGAGACAGUGUCUGACGGGCAGUUUGACUGGGGCGGUCGCCUCCUAAAAGGUAACGGAGGCGCCCAAAGGUUCCCUCAGAAUGGUUGGAAAUCAUUCGCAGAGUGUAAAGGUAUAAGGGAGCUUGACUGCGAGAGCUACAACUCGAGCAGGGACGAAAGUCGGGCUUAGUGAUCCGGUGGUUCCGUAUGGAAGGGCCAUCGCUCAACGGAUAAAAGCUACCCUGGGGAUAACAGGCUUAUCUCCCCCAAGAGUUCACAUCGACGGGGAGGUUUGGCACCUCGAUGUCGGCUCGUCGCAUCCUGGGGCUGUAGUCGGUCCCAAGGGUUGGGCUGUUCGCCCAUUAAAGCGGCACGCGAGCUGGGUUCAGAACGUCGUGAGACAGUUCGGUCCCUAUCCGUCGCGGGCGUAGGAAAUUUGAGAGGAUCUGCUCCUAGUACGAGAGGACCAGAGUGGACUUACCGCUGGUGUACCAGUUGUCUUGCCAAAGGCAUCGCUGGGUAGCUAUGUAGGGAAGGGAUAAACGCUGAAAGCAUCUAAGUGUGAAACCCACCUCAAGAUGAGAUUUCCCAUGAUUAUAUAUCAGUAAGAGCCCUGAGAGAUGAUCAGGUAGAUAGGUUAGAAGUGGAAGUGUGGCGACACAUGUAGCGGACUAAUACUAAUAGCUCGAGGACUUAUCCAA
rnacentral:rRNA from 1 species